rnacentral:miRNA from 1 species
UUGCAUAGUAACAAAAGUGAUC